UUAAGUUCAGCGGGUAGCCCUACCUGAUUUGAGGUCAGAGUACAAAAUGUUGCCAGCAAAGGCGAUUGUGAGCAGACUAGACCCUUCACCGAUGAAACUUAUUACAUCGACUAGAGGAGACAUCCGCUAAGUCAUUUGAGGUGAGCCAGACGGCAACACCCAAGUCCAAUCCGAUCGGAAACCCGAGGGGAUUGAGAGUU
rnacentral:misc_RNA from 1 species